rnacentral:rRNA from 1 species
UACGUAGGGGGCAAGCGUUGUCCGGAUUUAUUGGGCGUAAAGAGCGUGUAGGCGGCUUUGCAAGUCCGUUGUGAAAACUCGAGGCUCAACCUCGAGACGCCGGUGGAAACUGCAAAGCUAGAGUCCGGAAGAGGAGAGUGGAAUUCCUGGUGUAGCGGUGAAAUGCGCAGAUAUCAGGAAGAACACCCGUGGCUAAGGCGGCUCUCUAGUACGGUACUGACGCUGAGACGCGAAAGCGUGGGAGCGAACAGG